GAUGAACGCUAGCGGCAGGCCUAACACAUGCAAGUCGAGGGGUAACAUAGAAAAGCUUGCUUUUCUGAUGACGACCGGCGCACGGGUGCGUAACGCGUAUACAACCUACCUUUUAGCGGGGAAUAGCCCAGGGAAACUUGGAUUAAUGCCCCAUAGUAUAUAGACUUCUCCUGAAGUUUAUAUUAAACAUUUAUGGCUAUUAGAUGGGUAUGCGUCCUAUUAGUUAGUUGGUAAGGUAACGGCUUACCAAGGCAGCGAUAGGUAGGGGUCCUGAGAGGGAGAUCCCCACACUGGUACUGAGACACGGACCAGACUCCUACGGGAGGCAGCAGUGAGGAAUAUUGGACAAUGGGGGCAACCCUGAUCCAGCCAUGCCGCGUGCAGGAAGACUGCCCUAUGGGUUGUAAACUGCUUUUACAGAGGAAGAACCACCCCCACGUGUGGGGGUUUGACGGUACUCUGCGAAUAAGGAUCGGCUAACUCCGUG
rnacentral:rRNA from 1 species